rnacentral:rRNA from 1 species
UACGGUGGGAGCAAGCGUUGUUCGGAUUUACUGGGCGUAAAGGGCGCGUAGGCGGCGUGACAAGUCACUUGUGAAAUCUCCGGGCUUAACCCGGAGCGGCCAAGUGAUACUGUCGUGCUAGAGUGCGGAAGGGGCUACUGGAAUUCUCGGUGUAGCGGUGAAAUGCGUAGAUAUCGAGAGGAACACCUGCGGCGAAGGCGGGUAGCUGGGCCGACACUGACGCUGAGGCGCGAAAGCCAGGGGAGCGAACGGG